rnacentral:rRNA from 1 species
UACGUAGGGGGCAAGCGUUGUCCGGAAUCAUUGGGCGUAAAGCGCGUGUAGGCGGCUCGAUAAGUCUGCUGUGAAAGUCCAAGGCUCAACCUUGGGAUGCCGGUGGAUACUGUCGAGCUCGAGUCCGGAAGAGGAGUGUGGAAUUCCUGGUGUAGCGGUGAAAUGCGCAGAUAUCAGGAGGAACACCAAUGGCGAAGGCGGUCCCCUGGGCCGGAACUGACGCUGAGGCGCGAAAGCGUGGGGAGCAAACAGG